rnacentral:tRNA from 1 species
GCCCCUGUAGUAUAGCCAGGACAGAAUGCGGGCUUCCGGAGCCUGAGACCCCGGUUCAAAUCCGGGCAGGGGCG